rnacentral:rRNA from 1 species
AACGAACGCUGGCGGCAGGCCUAACACAUGCAAGUCGAACGUGAAGCCACCUUCGGGUGGUGGAAAGUGGCAGACGGGUGAGUAACGCGUGGGAACGUGCCUUUCGGUUCGGGAUAACCCAGGGAAACUUGGGCUAAUACCGGAUACGCCCUCCGGGGGAAAGAUUGAUUGCCGAAAGAUCGGCCCGCGUCGGAUUAGCUAGUUGGUGGGGUAAAAGCCUACCAAGGCGACGAUCCGUAGCUGGUCUGCGAGGAUGACCAGCCACACUGGGACUGAGACACGGCCCAGACUCCUACGGGAGGCAGCAGUGGGGAAUAUUGGACAAUGGGCGCAAGCCUGAUCCAGCCAUGCCGCGUGGGUGAAGAAGGCCCUAGGGUUGUAAACCCCUUUCAGCGGGGAAGAUAAUGACGGUACCCGCAGAAGAAGCCCCGGCUAACUCCGUGCCAGCCGCCGCCGUAACAC